CAAAAGUUACAUGCCUAUGGCACUUACAAUGAGUGAGUUGAAGAUUAUUGAGGGGUCUAAAGAUGAAACAUUAUCAAAACCUGGACAUCUAGAGGGUCUCCAUAUGCUGAAUUUGCUGAAGCUUACUGUUCCAUAUCUCUCUGUCAAAAUCAGUUCAAAAGUUCUGUCCGAAAUACUUCAGCUCAUGCAUUCUCAGUUCACAGCACUUACAAGGCAUAUUUUUAAAAUUUUUGAAGCAUUUUUUGAGACUUCUGGAGAGCAAGUUAUCGGC
rnacentral:misc_RNA from 1 species